rnacentral:lncRNA from 1 species
AUCAAUCAUACAUAUUAAUAAAUAUGUAUAUCAUCGGCUAUUUUAUUAGCUAAUCACUAGCAAGUAUUUACACAUCAUUCAUUGUUCAUAUUAUACCAAAAGUAGCUAAGUUUCUAUACAUGCCAUACCCAAAACAAAACGUCUAGUUAUACCGAGUUAUUUCUUUGAUAGUGUGAUCGGCUUCCGACGUUUCCUUCAAUCCCCGAGUGACUAGAUAAGUACUAUAAGAAGAAGAAAAUAAAGAGAUUAAGCACUAGGCUUAGUAAGCUUACAAGCAAAUAAAUCACAACAUUCAACAUAAUGGCUAAUUAUGCAUAAUAUCAUCUAACAUCAUAAAUUUCUUUACUUCUCAAUUUCUAUCUUCUUCUUUAUUCCCUUACCUCCUUUCUUACCUGACCUUUCCUUUUUCAUAAGUAUAAUCUACUUUUCCUUUGCUGUUAAUUCACUGUAAUUUAACUCGUAUCCUGACCUGUUGAACCACUCGGAAUACUAAGGAUACUAGGGUCGUUCCUGUUUAUCAAUAUCCUGCCAAUGCCAUGUCUUUGACAUGGACUUAUAUGAAUUAUUCCUGUCUCCAAUGCCAUAUAUAAUAUGGACUUACAUGGCUCAAUCUUGUCUCCAAAGCCAUAUUUCUAAUAUGGACUUACAUGGCUCAUUUCUGUUCUGUCCUGUCAACCCUAAUAUCCUAACAUUCCUAGGGUUCAACCGGGGCUUUCUAACACUUUUCCUCUGUCACUCCACCUUAAAUUCGACUUUACAUAUUUUCAUAACGUAAGUAUAUAAAUGCUGGAAAUUGACAAUAAUAAUGUAAAAUAAAAGAAUAUUGCAUUUAUUUACUGUAACUUACCUUGAUACAAAAUGUGACUAAACUUUACAAUUUAGUCCUUUACUUUUUCUUUUCCCCGAUCUACUCCCGAAUUUCGUUCUUCUUGAUCUAUAAUAGCAAAUUUAACUUAUUUAAUAUUCACAUUUAUUAAAACAGUCCUUGACCCAAACUUUUGUAAAAAUUAUAUUUUUACCCCUAAACUUUCACAUAUUUUCACUUUUGCCCCAAGGCUCGUAAAUUAAACUUCAUCCUAUUUUCUUAUGUUUUAUGACAUGCUGAUCAUUUUUCCCUUCAAUGGCAAUAUCAAAAUCACACUUUAACAUAUACUUAUGACUAUUGGUAUUUUUUUCCAAUUUAAGCCCUUUUACUCGUUUUCACUUAAAACCGAGUAGCAUAAGUUGUUUAACAUAAUUUAAAACCUCAUAUUCUAUCAUAAAACACAAAAAUACACAAAUUUCAGCCAUGGGUAUUUUUCCAAAUAUGAACCCUAGGUUGAAUUAUUGCUAGAAUAAGCUUAAUCAAGUUACCGGGACUCUAAAAACGUAAAGAUCAUUAAAAACGGGGCUUGGAAUCACUUACUAUGAAGCUUGAAAGUUGAAGAAACCCCAGCUAUGGAGGAGAGCAAAAAUCAGCAGAAAC